CAUAUAUACACACAUAUAUACACAAGCAUACAUAUGUUAAGGAAAAAUAUUUUUUUAAUUCUGUAUAUAUAUUAUUCUUAUAUGUUAUAAGGGACUGACAAGUCUAUUUUUAAACAGUUACAUUUCUUUUUGUCAAUUCAGCUAAUACAGAAACUGCUGUAUAUGCAAAGUAAGUAUUUUCAGCUACAGUAACACCCAAAGUUUGUAUGAACAAGAUAAGAAGAAGACCACGAGGUGCUGAUUGUGAAGAAACAACACAUGGCCUAUAAAAGAGAGACAUUGCUGCAAUCUAAUGCUGCACGCCACACACACUCUGUAUUACUGUAAAGUGACUUGAUGUCAUUUUUGUUGUAAUCAUGUUUAAUUGUACAAUUAUAACCUUAUUAAUUUGGAACAGCUGUCUGAUGUUAAUUUUUUCUUCAACAAUUUGGUGCUGAAACCCGGGAGUUUGAAAGCGAUUGUGGACGGAGCCAGGACUGGAACUAUGAGGACAGGAGACCACAGGCGCCAAAAAGAUCCAGAACAAAUAACUGGAACUCAUCACCUGCACCCUGGAGACUGGGUGGUGAUAAGAAGAUACGUGAGGAGACACUUAGAGCCCUGAUUUGACGGCCCAUAUCAGGUGUUACUGACAACACCCACCUCAGUCAAAGUGGAAUGGAAACCAAACUGGAUACAAGCCUCUCACUGUAAGAAAGUGAACUUCCAGGCCGGUGAUAAAAACCUGUGUCAAAAGGGUGAGACCACUGGGGACAAAGUGGGUUAACUAACUGCCAAGAUGCAUAUACUGUCCUGUUUUUUUCUUUGUCCUUUUCUUUGUGUUUUAUACCUCUAUACACCAGUGAAGGGCGACAAACGGACAAAUUCCAUCUGGCUUUUACACCAACAAACCGCCAAGCAACUGAAUGCCACAGACUGUUGGAUAUGCUCUCAUGUUUCUGCCAAUCAUAAAGGAAUCCCUUUAAUAGGUGUACCAAUAUCAAUGAAUGAUUUAAAUGUGACAGAUUACAGCUAUGUUGUUCAAAUAGAUAUAGAUCACUCUGUUCAUAAUGCUAUCUCAGAUCAAGGUACAUACUUAGAACUUGCUGGUAUAGUUUCUACACCAAUAAUGUGUCUUGGGCCAAUGUAUGUUAAUUACAUAGCAAACAUGAAAGGUUGCAUAUUUAGUUUGCCCAAGGUAUAUGUGGGGGAAACAGAUUGUAGAAAUGCUACUUUAACAUUUAAUAUGGAACCUAACAAAGUACCAUGUGAUACAGUAACUGCUGAUUCUAAUAGUUUAUGUUUUUGUUCAACGUUAAAAGCUUUGUGUACCACUAGGUGUGCCUGUCUUGAACAGACAGACAAUGAUGAAUGGACCUGUCAAACUCAGUUAUAUAACAAUAUGAGAUGGUUUCAACUAUGGCUGGGAAAGAUGGUAAGAUUAUUCCAAUGGUCCUUAAACAAGGUAUAAGUAAGAAUUAUUCUCAUCUGCAGAUAAAGUCUGGAUGUGGUUUCCUGCCUGGACAGGUUAGGGAAUUGAGCUAGCAAGUAGAAUUAACAAAUAUGCUAGUAUUAUGGAUGGGAUUAUUAAUGAGACUACAAGUUUUACACAUGAAUAAAGUAAAAGAGUUACAACAAAGAUCUAAAGAUAUAGCUAAGGAAGGAUGGGAUCGAUUGGAACCUGGUUUAAAAAUAUGCUUACAAAUCUUUUAAAACCCAUAGUGGUAGUGAUAGGAGUAAUUCUAAUGUGCCUAAUUGUUUGGAAAUUGUUAAUGAUUUGUGUUUCUCGUUGCAGAAAAAGAUGAAGAUACCGAUUGUUUAGGGUGAUGAUACAACAGCUACAGAGAUGACCGACUGAUAACUUAGUUCAGCUACCUGCCUUCCCUGCAGACCCUCCAGUCAUUUUAGGAGACAGGUGGAAGAUCUCAUCUCUGCGAGGGGGUCCCACAAUUGCACCUCAUCAGCUUUGGGCCUACUACAGGAUUUGGACCUAGGCCUGUGAAGGGAUGCAGUUCUGGUUGCUGUUAUCUGUUUAGAUAGAGAUUGCAUAUUUUGUGUUUGUGUGCUACCAAUAAAGAUGUGUGAAUGCUUAGAGGAAAUGAUAACUAUGUAGGCAGAUCUGGAAUGGAGGCUCAGCAUCCCACUGUCUAUGCAGCUUAUCUGUAUACUCAGUGAUAUACAGUCUGUCUAAGGGGUCAUUUCCAGGUAGGAAGGUUGUUAGUUAGUCAAGUAAGAGACACAAAGUAAUAAUGGCGUGAUAAUAAACACAAGGUAAUAGAUAAAUACAUGUGAUAAUAAAAUUAUCAAAAGGGUGAGAAAUGUUAAGGAAAAAUAUUUUUUUAAUUCUGUAUAUAUAUUCUUCUUAUAUGUUAUAAGGGACUGACAAGUCUAUUUUUAAACAGUUACAUUUCUUUUUGUCAAUUCAGCUAGUACAGAAACUGCUGUAUAUGCAAAGUAAGUAUUUUCAGCUACAGUAACACCCAAAGUUUGUAUGAACAAGAUAAGAAGAAGACCACGAGGUGCUGAUUGUGAAGAAACAACACAUGGCCUAUAAAAGAGAGACAUUGCUGCAAUCUAAUGCUGCACGCCACACACAUUCUGUAUUACUGUAAAGUGACUUGAUGUCAUUUUUGUUGUAAUCAUGUUUAAUUGUACAAUUAUAACCUUAUUAAUUUGGAA